AGCAGUAGCCGCGGUAAUACGAAGGGGGCUAGCGUUGCUCGGAAUGACUGGCGUAAAGGGCGCGUAGGCGGUUUUGACAGUCAGAUGUGAAAUUCCUGGGCUUAACCUGGGGGCUGCAUUUGAGACGUCAAGACUAGAGUGUGAGAGAGGGUUGUGGAAUUCCCAGUGUAGAGGUGAAAUUCGUAGAUAUUGGGAAGAACACCGGUGGCGAAGGCGGCAACCUGGCUCAUUACUGACGCUGAGGCGCGAAAGCGUGGGGAGCAAACAGGAUUAGAUACCCCCGUAGUCCCUGUCUCUUAUACC
rnacentral:rRNA from 1 species